GAUGAACGCUGGCGGCGUGCCUAAUACAUGCAAGUCGAGCGAACAGACGAGGAGCUUGCUCCUCUGACGUUAGCGGCGGACGGGUGAGUAACACGUGGAUAACCUACCUAUAAGACUGGGAUAACUUCGGGAAACCGGAGCUAAUACCGGAUAAUAUAUUGAACCGCAUGGUUCAAUAGUGAAAGACGGUUUUGCUGUCACUUAUAGAUGGAUCCGCGCCGCAUUAGCUAGUUGGUAAGGUAACGGCUUACCAAGGCAACGAUGCGUAGCCGACCUGAGAGGGUGGGUCGCCAACAGUAGAGAUGCACACGGGCCACACCCCCACGGGGGGGAGCAAGAGGGAAUUCUUCGGCAGAGGCGAAAAGCCGGCCGGGCAAGCCCGGGGGGGGUAAAAAAGUUUUAGGGAUCUAAAACCUUUUUUAUGGGGAAAAAAAAAGUGUAAAAGAACCUAGCCCUUUCUGCGGGGUACAAAAUAAAAAGCCCAGGGCAACCUCCGUC
rnacentral:rRNA from 1 species